UUUCAUUUUGGUGGUAAAUCUACUAAAACUGAAGUACUACAGGGAAGAUUAGCAUGACCCUCACACAAGGAUGGCAUGCAAAUUCUGGAAGCACUCCUUAUUUUA